GCAGCGAGGUCCGGCCGGCGCCGGUUGGAACCGGCCUCGGGGCCGCAUCACCGCGGAUCCCUCCGCCGCGCCGGGAACGCCCCCGAAUUCCCGUUUUUUUGCCUUUAAAUGGGCGUGGGGGAGGAACGGAGUUAAAGUUAAACCUCCCGAGCCGUGGGGGGGAGGGGAGGGAGGCUGGGGGAGGGGGUUUUGUGGGGGUUUGGGGCCCCCUGAUGGAGAACAUUGUGGGGAAAACAAGCGCGUGUCCCCCCCCGCGCCCCAUUCCUGAGGUGAUUUUUGUGUGAAAAGCCAUGAAACUGACUUUUUUUUGAGAGGGAGGGAGGUCUUGGGGAGACGGCUCGAUAAAGGUAAAAAUGGGGCUGGUGGAUUGCAGGGUUUCACCCCAGAAAGGGUGGAAAAUUGUGAGGGGGUUCAUGUGUCCUUUGCCUACAGGAUCAAAAAGGAAAACAAGCUGAAAAGCUGCAAUUUUUACUUUAGGUAUUUUUUUUAAAGCGUUCCCUUCGUUCUACGUGUAGUUGUGUGCUGAAAUCGGUGUUUUCUGGUGCCGAAAAGAAAGGAAAAAUAGGCUUAAAAUUGCGGGCAGAGCUGUCCGACCCUGAAGGAGACAAAAUGGCUGCCGGGGGGAGGGGGCCUCUUCUGGGCUCAUUGUGCAGCUUUUUGGUGCAAUCCCUGAAAGAAAAUCAGCAUUUCCACUCAGGAAACGCCCUGGAAACACGGCGGAAAAACUCGUCCGUUGCCCAGUGACCGCCCGCGUCAUCGCCUCGUCAGCCGCAUUAAUUGGCCCUAAUUACUGGUUUCCCACAUUUUUUGGGGGGGUGUCCUCACUAGCAGCGAUUUUGGGGUGUCAUUACCCGCGACAUGGGAGCGGGGGCUGCCCGGAAAUGCCUCAAAAUGCCGCAAACAGGGAUUUUUUUUUUUGCUUAAAAAUGGCCAGCAUGGCUGAGGCUGCGCAAUGACUCAGCAUGGCCUUGAAAUUGUAGAAAAUGAGGAGAUUUGGGGGUAUUUGAAUGAAAAAAAUACAUUAAGAGGCUUCGUGCUUUGAUGGGAAGCGGGGUGGGGAUGGAAAAGGUUUGUCUGAGCUUUGUCGAAAGGGGGGAAUUAAAAAGGGGGUUGGGGGGGUUGCUGAUAAAUGAGGACAAAAAAAGGGGGGUUGGGAGUGUUUCCAACUGUAAAAGCAACGUGGCACAAGCACAAACAUGUACUCACCUGUGAUUUAAACCAUUUUUUCCCCAAAAGAUUUCUGAUUGUUUUGGGGAAAAACAGCCUUUUUGCCAGGACCCCCCCCCC
rnacentral:lncRNA from 1 species